CACACAAACAGGUUUACUUUAAGAGUGAUACAACAAGCAAACGGCAGCGAUGUAGUGGCUGAGUAGGGAGAGUCCUCUCUCUCACAAAUUGAAAACAUUCCUCUCUGAAUCUUGCUAUUGUCUUUGCAAUGUGAACUUGCGUGGGCUCAUCUGAGGUGUGGCCUGAUCCCGUGGGGGGCGGAGUUAACUGUUAAGAGACCACGACGAGUGAAAGGAAAACAUCAGCGAAUGAAAAGACGAGUGACUUUACCAUUUGCUUUUUGUUUUAGAAUAAAUACCUGGGUUUUCUUUGCUGGGGUAGAUGCGAGGAAAAGGCUUGAAUUCAUCGGGAGGAGGUAGAUCUUCUACGGGGUGGAACUGGAACUUGGACUCAAAGUCAUCUGGAAGGAGAAUCACUGGAGGAUGAGUGUCCACUUGAAAUGUUCAUUGUUGUCAUGAAGUGUUCCCCAUGUGGGAAGUCAAUAGACCCAAACAUGAAGAUGCUUCACAACAUUCCACUUGGAAGGGGCUGUCGGUUUGGGGGCCCCUGGCCUGAAGAGCCCAGACCAACAAGAUUACAAACCUGAGGUCCUGGCCACCACGUCACGUUUCUUUAUGGGCCUGAGUGUGGGGAAGCCGCCAGCAAAAAGCCCGCCGAGGGACGGGGCCGGAGGGGCCCCACCUGCACAUGGACCCUGAGAGGCCCCGACGUUGUUGGAGACACCCGCACUCGCCGCCUUGGGCUCUGAGACAUCCUCGUGACAUUCCUUCAUGAAGUGUGCACUUGUGAACACAACUCAGCCCUUCUGUGCUCCUCCCUGGCUGACGGCAAUGAGCGGACAAGUCACGGUUAAAAAAGCCGGGUUCCCUUCUGGAUGUCAGCCAGCAGAGCGUUCCUGCCGCCAUUGUCGCACUUGGGAGCCUCGGCUGUAGCCUGUGACACACGCAGCAGACCUGUCACUGAGUGGGCACAUCCCAGCACUCUUCAUGUCACAUGUGGAGAGAAGAACAUCGAGGAGCUUUCCUCACGUAAUCAUUGCAGAACACACUUAUUUCCUGGGAAUAUUUCCAUUCCUUCAGGUCUUUGUAUCCUCAGGGCUUGGAAUUGAAUAGGUGGGUGUCAGUGUCUGAGAGGAUGGUGCUGGAUCCAACGUGUUUACCCUCUUGGGUGAGGACACGCCCACACAAGGGUGUUUUCGCUCUAUUCAGAUUUUGGCGUAAAUACAAGGCUAGUAUUGAAGCUGGAUCGGUUCGCAGCCGAGUGUGAAGCGACUGGGAUGGGAAUCAGCACCUGACCGAGUCCAUGGUUCUCGCCUGGGAAAGGGUGGAGUGCCAUCUCCAGGUUGGGGAGGAGAUCUUGCCCCAAGUGGAGGAGUUCAGGUACCUCGGAGUCUUGUUCACGAGUGAGGGAAGAGUGGAUCGUGAGAUCGACAGGCAGAUAGGUGCGGCGUCUUCAGUAAUGCGGAUGCUGUAUCGAUCCGUCAUGGUGAAGAAGGAGCUGAGCCGGAAGGCAAAGCUCUCAAUUUACCGGUAGAUCUACGUUCCCAUCCUCACCUACGGUCAUGAGCUUUGGGUCAUGACCGAAAGGACAAGAUCACGGGUACAAGCGGCCGAAAUGAGUUUCCUCCGCCGUGUGGCGGGGCUCUCCCUUAGAGAUAGGGUGAGAAGCUCUGUCAUCCGGGAGGAACUCAAAGUAAAGACGCUCCUCCUCCACAUGGAGAGGAACCAGAUGAGGUGGUUCGGGCAUCUAAUCAGGAUGCCACCCGAACGCCUCCCUAGGGAGGUGUUUCGGGCACGUCCGACCGGUAGGAAACCACGGGGAAGACCCAGGACACGUUGGGAAGACUAUGUCUCCCGGCUGGCCUGGGAACGCCCGGGAGGAGCUGGACGAAGUGGCUGGGGAGAGGGAAGUCUGCGCUUCUCUGCUUAGGCUGCUGCCCCCUUGACCCAACCUCGGAUAAGCGGAAGAAGAUGGAUGGAUGGAUACAAGGCUAGUAUCGCAUAUACCAGCAGUUUUCAAACUGUGAAAGAACAGUGUUUUACUUUCCUGUAUCCAAACACAGUGUCACCGUUCAAACUGUGUGUGAUGUUUCAGACACCAAAAUAUACUUGUAGAAUAAAACAUCUGCCUUGUCUUUAAUGAAUAAUUAGACCUACUGUAUUUUAGUGUUUUUCUGAGAACCACUGGCUUAUGCAAUUAACAGUACUUUUUGCUUGAAACAUCGUGCUUAAAUAAUUUUGAGAUUAAAAAGUCACAAUCGAUAUUUGGAUCGAAAAGCUUAGCCAUGCAUAGAAGGUUUAAUCAGUUUAUGUUCUCAAACUUACAUCAGAGAACUGGUGUCUGAGAGGAUGGUGCUGGAUCCACCGUAUUUACCCUCUCAGGCCCAGGUGUCAAACUCAAGGCCCAAGGGCCCACUCUCGACCGCCACAUCUUUUUACAGUGGCCCGCUAUACCAAUUUGUUGUGGACUGCCUCUUCCUUUGGCCUUUUGGCGUGUGCCAUAAUUUAAAUUGGCCCGCCACAUCACUUUAGGUGGUCCACCACAUCACUUCAGGUAGUCCGCCACAUCACUUUAGUGGUCCACCACGUCAUUUAAUUUGGCCCCCCACAUCACUUCAGGUAGUCCAUCACAUCACUUUAGUGGUCCACCACUUCAUUUAAAUUGACCCCCCACAUCA